rnacentral:lncRNA from 1 species
GCUAUGUUUAUAAGUGCUUGCCAGCAGAAGAAGGAUCAGUCUGAGUUUUGGUAUUUGCGGGGUAUUUCUUUACUGUGCAUGAUUUAAUCUCAUUGGUUUUUUUUUAUCCAUAGAUCAUAGGACCUCCUGGACCUCCAGGGCCACAUGGUCCUCCAGGCCCUAUGGGACCUCAUGGCCUGCCUGGCCCAAAGCACCACUUACUAAUCUCACGUUCUUGUCACCCGUGUCGUACCCAUCAUCCAUGCUUCCACCUAACUACACAGGGAGCAUCUGGCUUAGACGGAAAGCCAGGACCCCGGGUGAGUCCCUUGUCUUUCCAUGUCACUGUGUUACUGAGGCUAUGUGCGUCCCAGCACACACAGUCCGGAGGAAUGAAGGCCACGCAUCGCAGACAUCUUCCAUGCUCUGUCACAGGGGCUUCAAGCAGCCUCCUAGGGCAGUGUGUGGGGGAAAGAGAAUGUGAUUUGCAGCAGAAGGAGGCUCUGAGCCUUAGAAAUCUUGAUAUUUGGUGGAUAACUGCUGCACAGCCUGCGCUGGUUGGGAUCUUGCUUUCCUGAGUAAGGUUAGGGAUUUGGUUUACAUAGGAAAGCAUACUUGUUUUGUGCUAAUAUGGAAUCGGUGANAAUAGGGUAGGGCUCUUGAUCUUUAACUAUGAGUCUGUCAUCUUUAACAACCUACUGUGAACAUGUACAACAACAAAGCAUAAGUGAUACCUUACACUAACUAAAACCUCCACAGAGAUCCCAGCUCAGAAUUACGUCUCUUUGAAUUUCUCAGUUUAACAAAACAGCUGUGUUGAAAUGACGUCAGACUGCAUUAGGGGCACAGCCAUAUGGCUCAGCUCCAGUUAGCUCAAACAGCAGUACAUCGGACAAAGGUAUGCGUGACUCGAGCAUUCAUUUCUACAGAGCUGUUUGUUGGGGAAU